rnacentral:tRNA from 1 species
GUCCCUGUAGCACAAUAGAUAGCUCAUUGGACUUCUAGCCCAAAGGUCGUGGGUUCGAAUCCCACCUGGGAUG